GGGAGUUCCUAAGAAGCAAUGGACAAAGACCCAGAGUCUGUGCUGGGGGCCUUGGAAGGCUCUAAACCCUGAGCAGCAGUUUACAGAAGAGGCGAACAAUAUGGAUAUGGAGACAAUCUCUGUAAGUCUUGCUAUGGAAGAAGGAGUUCUCAUGGGGCAAGAACUACUCCAGUUGUUCCCUUAAUGGGGUAGCCAGGGUAGCCUUCAGAGGAGGUAUCGUUUUCUAGGAGACUUGGGAGUGCUCUCCUGUAGGAUCCAAGACUUCUCAUCUUUCCGAUGCGAACUGAAUUAUGCUAGCAUGUCAACCAGGACAUUUCAGAGAAGCAUCGGUGAGCAUAUCUCCUUGUACACAGAGGGAAAAUUCUGAAGUUGCUUAAAUGUGUUGGAAUAAUUUGUUCUCUCUCUAAACGUGUUAGUAAACCUCUUACCAGAACACCCUCACUAUCGAUUUUUUUUU
rnacentral:lncRNA from 1 species